rnacentral:rRNA from 1 species
AUGUGUGAGCUGCUGAAGCAUGGCGCGGCGCCUUUUGACGACAUGAUCCAGCAUAGCAGCGUGAUCCGCACGUGCGCCUUGGGCCUUGCGAACAACCUCAAAGGACACCAGUCUAUUGCCCCCGCUGCUGCAAUGGUGGGAAGGGCAAAGGAGGCCAAGAAGUUGUGCGAUUGGAUCAAGAGGAAGAAGAAGCUCGUCACCUUCAGCCUGUGCGAGCCUCAUGGGCUCGAGGAGUGCCGCUUGAUCCGGAUGAAAGCCUUGGAUGUUAUGACCAGCAUACUGCAGGAGUCUUCCUUUCCUUCUUCCAAGGUUAGUGGAUGA